rnacentral:rRNA from 1 species
GCUACAGGCUUAACACAUGCAAGUCGAGGGGCAGCAUGGUCUUAGCUUGCUAAGGCCGAUGGCGACCGGCGCACGGGUGAGUAACACGUAUCCAACCUGCCGUCUACUCUUGGACAGCCUUCUGAAAGGAAGAUUAAUACAAGAUGGCAUCAUGAGUCCGCAUGUUCACAUGAUUAAAGGUAUUCCGGUAGACGAUGGGGAUGCGUUCCAUUAGAUAGUAGGCGGGGUAACGGCCCACCUAGUCUUCGAUGGAUAGGGGUUCUGAGAGGAAGGUCCCCCACAUUGGAACUGAGACACGGUCCAAACUCCUACGGGAGGCAGCAGUGAGGAAUAUUGGUCAAUGGGCGAGAGCCUGAACCAGCCAAGUAGCGUGAAGGAUGACUGCCCUAUGGGUUGUAAACUUCUUUUAUAAAGGAAUAAAGUCGGGUAUGGAUACCCGUUUGCAUGUACUUUAUGAAUAAGGAUCGGCUAACUCCGUGCCAGCAGCCGCGGUAAUACGGAGGAUCCGAGCGUUAUCCGGAUUUAUUGGGUUUAAAGGGAGCGUAGAUGGAUGUUUAAGUCAGUUGUGAAAGUUUGCGGCUCAACCGUAAAAUUGCAGUUGAUACUGGAUAUCUUGAGUGCAGUUGAGGCAGGCGGAAUUCGUGGUGUAGCGGUGAAAUGCUUAGAUAUCACGAAGAACUCCGAUUGCGAAGGCAGCCUGCUAAGCUGCAACUGACAUUGAGGCUCGAAAGUGUGGGUAUCAAACAGGAUUAGAUACCCUGGUAGUCCACACGGUAAACGAUGAAUACUCGCUGUUUGCGAUAUACUGCAAGCGGCCAAGCGAAAGCGUUAAGUAUUCCACCUGGGGAGUACGCCCGGCAACGGUGAAACUCAAAGGAA